UGGGGAAUAUUGGACAAUGGGCGCAAGCCUGAUCCAGCCAUGCCGCGUGAGUGAUGAAGGCCCUAGGGUUGUAAAGCUCUUUCACCGGUGAAGAUAAUGACGGUAACCGGAGAAGAAGCCCCGGCUAACUUCGUGCCAGCAGCCGCGGUAAUACGAAGGGGGCUAGCGUUGUUCGGAUUUACUGGGCGUAAAGCGCACGUAGGCGGACUAUUAAGUCAGGGGUGAAAUCCCGGGGCUCAACCCCGGAACUGCCUUUGAUACUGGUAGUCUUGAGUUCGAGAGAGGUGAGUGGAAUUCCGAGUGUAGAGGUGAAAUUCGUAGAUAUUCGGAGGAACACUAGUGGCGAAGGCGGCUCACUGGCUCGAUACUGACGCUGAGGUGCGAAAGCGUGGGGAGCAAACAGG
rnacentral:rRNA from 1 species